AUUGAACGCUGGCGGCAGGCCUAACACAUGCAAGUCGAGCGGAGCGGCAGACGGGUGCGUAAUGCCUAGGACUCUGCCUCGUAGUGAGGGAUAACGUUCGGUAACGGGCGCUAAUACCGCAUACUAUCAGAUUAGCCUAGGUCGGAUUAGCUAGUUGGUGGGGUAAAGGCCUACCAAGGCGACGAUCCGUAACUGGUCUGAGAGGAUGAUCAGUCACACUGGAACUGAGACACGGUCCAGACUCCUACGGGAGGCAGCAGUGGGGAAUAUUGGACAAUGGGCGAAAGCCUGAUCCAGCCAUGCCGCGUGUGUGAAGAAGGUCUUCGGAUUGUAAAGCACUUUAAGUUGGGAGGCGUUACCAGCAGAAUAAGCACCGGCUAACUUCGUGCCAGCAGCCGCGGUAAUUC
rnacentral:rRNA from 1 species